AUAAUAUAUUCUUCUCCUUUUAACUUAUCAGUUUAAUGAGCUUUUGCCUUAAUUACAACUCACAUAGUACCUGUCUUGGGACAGUUUGUGUUUGUGCAUUUAUAGUUUGAGGGUUAUGUUUUAAUUAGAAAAAUGGUAGAGCAUUCUUCUUACAUAUGGAAUUGAAGUAGAAUACUUAUGAAGCAUAAUUCUUACACAGUUUCCAAGCAUAGAAAUUAUAUCAAAUUUUAAUUUUGUCUUUUGUCUUUUGUUUGUAUAUAAACAGCAAAAAAUGGAAGCAACUAAUACAAUCAAGAGGUCGCUCUUUCAUAUUUUCUACUGUAGUCCCUGUUGUGGCUGCAUCCCAUGGUACCUCGUAUAGGUUGAUGACAAAGGAACUAGGAGCCUUGAGAUCAGGAGUAUUAAGAGGACGGCCUUCGGGUAUGGAGCUUAAAGGAGCAUAUUUGACAGGCACAGGCUUCACAGGGGGAGGCAAUUGGGGCCUGAAUGGAGAUUGAGGUACAAGGAAGAAGUGGGGUACUGGGGAGAGUGUGGAUGAUGAAGCUGAGGGUGGAGUUCGGACGGACCACAAGAGGAGCUGCAAUCUGAUUUAAAGUAGUCGAGUUUGGCCAAAGGAAGGUACCUUGUGGCUUGCAAAUCCUGAAAGCACUCUUUGGUCUCUGCCUUGUUCUGCCUUGUUCUGCCUUGUUCUCUACUGUCAUGGCUGCUGGUGCCUUCAGGCAAAGAUACAGAGAGCAAAGAGUGCUUUCAGGAUUUGGUUUCUGACUUGCUUUUUUCUCAUUUUUCUAUAGUGGUCUCCCAUUUUUCAGAGUCCGACAACACACCUACUCCAUUUUUUGUUUUCAUUAGUUGUUCCUGAACAUUUACAAAUGAUGCAUUAACUCUUUGGGUUCACUACUAUAUCAUUCUUGAUUUUCCUAA